UGAGGAAUAUUGGUCAAUGGACGAGAGUCUGAACCAGCCAAGUAGCGUGAAGGAUGACUGCCCUAUGGGUUGUAAACUUCUUUUAUAUGGGAAUAAAAUGUUCCACGUGUGGGAUUUUGUAUGUACCAUAUGAAUAAGG
rnacentral:rRNA from 1 species